rnacentral:rRNA from 1 species
CGUAGCCGCGGGAAUACAGAGGGUGCGAGCGUUAAUCGGAUUUACUGGGCGUAAAGCGUGCGUAGGCGGCUUCUUAAGUCGGAUGUGAAAUCCCUGAGCUUAACUUAGGAAUUGCAUUCGAUACUGGGAAGCUAGAGUAUGGGAGAGGAUGGUAGAAUUCCAGGUGUAGCGGUGAAAUGCGUAGAGAUCUGGAGGAAUACCGAUGGCGAAGGCAGCCAUCUGGCCUAAUACUGACGCUGAGGUACGAAAGCAUGGGGAGCAAACAGGAUUAGAUACCCCGGUAGUCCCUGUCUCUUAUACA